CGAGCGAAGACUUCGGUCUUAGCGGCGGACGGGUGAGUAACGCGUGGGAACGUGCCCUUCUCUACGGAAUAGUCCCGGGAAACUGGGUUUAAUACCGUAUACGCCCUUCGGGGGAAAGAUUUAUCGGAGAAGGAUCGGCCCGCGUCUGAUUAGAUAGUUGGUGGGGUAAUGGCCUACCAAGUCGACGAUCAGUAGCUGGUUUUAGAGGAUGAUCAGCCACACUGGGACUGAGACACGGCCCAGACUCCUACGGGAGGCAGCAGUGGGGAAUCUUAGACAAUGGGCGCAAGCCUGAUCUAGCCAUGCCGCGUGAGUGAUGAAGGCCUUAGGGUCGUAAAGCUCUUUCGCUGGGGAAGAUAAUGACGGUACCCAGUAAAGAAACCCCGGCUAACUCCGUGCCAGCAGCCGCGGUAAUACGGAGGGGGUUAGCGUUGUUCGGAAUUACUGGGCGUAAAGCGCGCGUAGGCGGACAUUUAAGUCAGGGGUGAAAUCCCGGGGCUCAACCCCGGAACUGCCCUUGAUACUGGGUGUCUUGAGUUCGAGAGAGGUGAGUGGAAUUCCGAGUGUAGAGGUGAAAUUCGUAGAUAUUCGGAGGAACACC
rnacentral:rRNA from 1 species